AGAGUUUGAUCCUGGCUCCAGGACGAACGCUGGCGGCGUGCUUAACACAUGCAAAGUCGAGCGAUGAAGUGUCUUCGGAAAUGGAUUAGCGGCGAACGGGUGAGGAACACGUGAAGAAUCUGCCCUCCACUUUUGGGAUAACACCGGGAAACCGGUGCUAAUACUGAAUAUUGAAACAUAAGUGGCAUCACUGAGUUUUGAAAGAAUUUCGGUGGAGGAUGACUUCGCGGCCUAUCAGCUAGUUGGUGAGGUAAUGGCUCACCAAGGCAACGACGGGUAGCCGGCCUGAGAGGGCGACCGGCCACACUGGGACUGAGACACGGCCCAGACUCCUAUGGGAGGCAGCAGUGGGGAAUAUUGGGCAAUGGAGGAAACUCUGACCCAGCGACGCCGCGUGCGGGAUGAAGGCCUUCGGGUUGUAAACCGCUUUCAGUAGGGAAGAAGCGAAAGUGACGGUACCUACAAAAGAAGCACCGGCUAACUAUGUGCCAGCAGCCGCGGUAAUACAUAGGGUGCAAGCGUUGUCCGGAAUUAUUGGGCGUAAAGAGCUCGUAGGUCGUUUGUUACGUCGGAUGUGAAAACCUGAGGCUCAACCUCAGGCCUGCAUUCGAUACGGGCAAACUAGAGUUUGGUAGGGGAGACUGGAAUUCCUGGUGUAGCGGUGGAAUGCGCAGAUAUCAGGAGGAACACCAAUGGCGAAGGCAGGUCUCUGGGCCAAUACAGACACUGAGGAGCGAAAGUCUGGGGAGCGAACAGGAUUAGAUACCCUGGUAGUCCAGACCGUAAACGGUGGGCACUAGUUGUGGGAACCUUCCACGGUUUCUGCAACGCAGCUAACGCAUUAAGUGCCCCGCCUGGGGAGUACGAUCGCAAGAUUAAAACUCAAAGGAAUUGACGG
rnacentral:rRNA from 1 species